GCAACAUGGAUCACAAGGCGUUCGCA
rnacentral:piRNA from 1 species